ACCCCAAUAGCCUAAUUAAAAGCACUGUUUUUGUAAACCAGAGAUGGGUCCAACCCUUGGGGUA
rnacentral:tRNA from 1 species